AACGAACGCUGGCGGCAUGCCUAACACAUGCAAGUCGAACGAGACCUUCGGGUCUAGUGGCGCACGGGUGCGUAACGCGUGGGAACCUGCCCUUAGGUUCGGGAUAACUCCCCGAAAGGGGUGCUAAUACCGGAUAAUGUCUUCGGACCAAAGAUUUAUCGCCUUUGGAUGGGCCCGCGUUGGAUUAGCUAGUUGGUAGGGUAAAAGCCUACCAAGGCGACGAUCCAUAGCUGGUCUGAGAGGAUGAUCAGCCACACUGGGACUGAGACACGGCCCAGACUCCUACGGGAGGCAGCAGUGGGGAAUAUUGGACAAUGGGCGAAAGCCUGAUCCAGCAAUGCCGCGUGAGUGAUGAAGGCCUUAGGGUUGUAAAGCUCUUUUACCCGGGAUGAUAAUGGCAGUACCGGGAGAAUAAGCUCCGGCUAACUCCGUG
rnacentral:rRNA from 1 species